AACUAUUAUGUGUCCAUAUUAAAAGAUUUUGUGACAUCAAGUGCCAUACACUUAAUAAUUUUCUUUAAAAAAUAUUCAUUUAAAGGUCGUCAUUACGGCAGGAACUAUGUUGCCUCAGCAAUUGAUUGCGAUAAUUCUGGCAGUUGGGUUAUUCAUCAAUAUUUCCUUAGAUACGACUCAAGCUCAGUCAUCUUUUAGGGGAAUUGCAACUACUUCGAGAUAUGGAAUCAGAAGAUCUCCAAUUAGUAGUGCAACAACUAAAGCAUCUAAAGGAGCAACCAGAAAGAAGAAACGAGGAUGGAAAAGGAUUCGAAAAAUACUAAGGAGGGUUUUCCGUUCAACAAAAGAUAUUGCCAAAACAGAUAAAAUUCAUUGAGUUUAUAAAAUAAAAAAUAUUAUUUAAAAAAAUUAUUAUGAAUGUAAACAA